rnacentral:rRNA from 1 species
GUGUCAGCAGCCGCGGUAAUACGGAGGGUGCAAGCGUUGUUCGGAAUUACUGGGCGUAAAGCGCGUGUAGGCGGUCGGGUAAGUCAGAUGUGAAAGCCCCCGGCUUAACUGGGGAACUGCAUUUGAAACUGCCUGGCUCGAGUUCGGGAGAGGAGAGUGGAAUUCCUGGUGUAGAGGUGAAAUUCGUAGAUAUCAGGAGGAACACCGGUGGCGAAGGCGGCUCUCUGGCCCGACACUGACGCUGAGACGCGAAAGCGUGGGGAGCAAACAGGAUUAGAUACCCUGGUAGUCCACGCCGUAAACGAUGGGCACUAGGUGUGGGAGGUAUUGACCCCUUCCGUGCCGAAGCUAACGCAUUAAGUGCCCCGCCUGGGGAGUACGACCGCAAGGUUAAA